rnacentral:rRNA from 1 species
GGGCCCGCACAAGCGGUGGAGCAUGUGGUUUAAUUCGAUGAUACGCGAGGAACCUUACCAAGGCUUAAAUGUAAUACGACCGAUUGAGAAAUCAAUCUUUUUUCGAACGGAUUACAAGGUGCUGCAUGGUUGUCGUCAGCUCGUGCCGUGAGGUGUCGGGUUAAGUCCCAUAACGAGCGCAACCCCUAUUUUUAGUUGCCAGCGAGUAAUGUCGGGAACUCUAGAAAGACUGCCUGUGUAAACAGAGAGGAAGGUGGGGAUGACGUCAAAUCAUCACGGCCCUUAUGUCUUGGGCUACACACGUGCUACAAUGGUAAUUACAAUGGGAUGCAAAGAGGCGACUCUUAGCUAAUCCCUAAAAUGUACCUCAGUUCGGAUUGUACUCUGUAACUCGAGUGCAUGAAGCUGGAAUUGCUAGUAAUCGC